AUUGAACGCUGGCGGCAGGCCUAACACAUGCAAGUCGAGCGAUUUUGGCUUCGGUCAGAAGAGCGGCGAACGGGUGAGUAACACGUAGGAAUCUGCCUGGUAGUGGGGGACAACGUCUCGAAAGGGACGCUAAUACCGCAUACGCCCUACGGGGGAAAGCUGGGGACCUUCGGGCCUAGCGCUAUCAGAUGAGCCUGCGUCGGAUUAGCUAGUUGGUAGGGUAAAGGCCUACCAAGGCGACGAUCCGUAACUGGUCUGAGAGGAUGAUCAGUCACACCGGAACUGAGACACGGUCCGGACUCCUACGGGAGGCAGCAGUGGGGAAUAUUGGACAAUGGGGGCAACCCUGAUCCAGCCAUGCCGCGUGUGUGAAGAAGGCCUUCGGGUUGUAAAGCACUUUAGGUCGGGAGGAAGGUUCGCUGGCUAAUAUCCAGCGGAAUUGACGUUACCGACAGAAUAAGCACCGGCUAACUUCGUGCCAGCAGCCGCAGUAACAC
rnacentral:rRNA from 1 species